GGAUUCCCCUAGUAACUGCGAGUGAAGCGGGAAAAGCUCAAAUUUAAAAUCUGGCGGUCUUUGGCCGUCCGAGUUGUAAUCUAGAGAAGUAAUACCCGUGCUGGACCGUGUACAAGUCUCCUGGAACGGGGUGUCAUAGAGGGUGAGAAUCCCGUCUCUGACACGGACUACCNAGUGCGUUGUGGUAUGCUCUCAAAGAGUCGAGUUGUUUGGGAAUGCAGCUCAAAAUGGGUGGUAAAUUCCAUCUAAAGCUAAAUAUUGGCGAGAGACCGAUAGCGAACAAGUACCNGUGAGGGAAAGAUGAAAAGAACUUUGGAAAGAGAGUUAAACAGUACGUGAAAUUGCUGAAAGGGAAACGCUUGAAGUCAGUCGCGUUGGCCAGGGAUCAGCCUCGCUUUUGCGUGGUGUACUUUCUGGUUGACGGGUCAGCAUCAAUUUUGACCGCUGGAAAAGGGCUUGGGGAAUGUGGCAGCCUCGGCUGUGUUAUAGCCCCUGGUCACAUACGGCGGUUGGGAUUGAGGAACUCAGCACGCCGAAAGGCCGGGUUUCGACCACGUUCGUGCUUAGGAUGCUGGCAUAAUGGCUUUAAGCGACCCGUCUUGAAACACGGACCAAGGAGUCUAACGUGCCUGCGAGUGUUUGGGUGGAAACCCCGAGCGCGUAAUGAAAGUAAAAGUUGAGAUCCCUGUCGUGGGGAGCAUCGACGCCCGGACCAGAACUUUUGGGACGGAUCCGCGGUGGAGCAUGUACGUUGGGACCCGAAAGAUGGUGAACUAUGCCUGAAUAGGGUGAAGCCAGAGGAAACUCUGGUGGAGGCUCGUAGCGAUUCUGACGUGCAAAUCGAUCGUCAAAUUUGGGUAUAGGGGCGAA
rnacentral:rRNA from 1 species